UAUUGCAUUUUCCUUGUAAUUAAGUUAGGCUACAUGCCUAAUGUUAAUUUAUAACCUUCAAAGUGCUAUGCCCAUUAUAGGCUACUGUAAAUCAAACUACACUUAAGAUUUUUUUCUUUCAAAUUUUAUUGUCAUCUAUAUAGGAACCCACAGGAAAUUCAAUGAAAUCCUUGUACCAAGGCACCCUCAAUUUUAACAAAUCUGAAAAUAAAAAUACACACGUCAAGAAAACCGCUGUUUAUUAGAUUGUAAUUUAUUGUUUCCGGUAAAAAGCCUUCAAAUGUAGCCUGUUUUCCGACCGUUUAUAUUUAUAUGUCAUCAUUCGCAUAAUAAAGUAUAAAGAAGUGUAGUGAGUACAUUCUGUAUGUCCUAAAUUGUAAAAAUUGAGUGAACACGAAAUUCAGUUUGAUUAUCACGCUAUUUAAAAUGUGCGACAGCUUGUCUUGGACUUGAAUUGGAUACUAGAAUUUACCGGAGGUCCCUGAAUGCGUCGUCUCCACCCGAUCUUACUCAUUCGCCGGAGAAUCGCGCCACCAAGUGGACGAAAGACGAGUUGCAGGAGCCAAAAUAAGCUUGUCCUUUUUUAAUGUCAAGUUAUGAAAUCCGUAACAACGUCUGUGUUUUCUUUCUGACCGAGUAAACCUGACUGCGUCAUGAAUGAGAGCGAAACUGUGGUCGUUACAGGGUUUGGACCUUUCAGGCAGUUCUUAGUGAACCCCAGCUGGACAGCAGCACAGGGGUUGAAGUUGGUCGGAUUGGGUGAGCGGAUUGAUGUUUACACCAAGGAGGUAGCAGUGAGUUACUUCAAAACCCAGCAGAUCAUUGCUGAGAUUUGGCAAACUCUUAAACCAAAGUUUGCUGUUCAUCUGGGUAUCGCCAGAGGUUCCCGAGUCGUCAUAUUAGAGCAAACAGGGAAGAACAGUGGAUACAAAGACAGAGAUAUGUGUGGCUUCUGUCCUGAAAGUCACUGCUGUGUGGAAGGAGCGCAGGAGAAACUGGACUCGGUGGUUAACAUGAGAGCUGUUGCCAAACACUUCAAACAAGCAGGGAUGGAUGUAAUUUAUUCAAGAGAUGCUGGCAGGUACCUGUGUGAUUUUGCGUAUUACUGCUCACUGUAUCACGGUCAGGGGAGAGCGGCCCUCAUCCAUGUACCCUCGUCUGGCAGCCUGGCCUCAGCUGACAGACUGGUGCUUCUUCUACAGAGCAUCAUUCAGAGCAUGCUCGGCCAGCUGGAGGACCCUUCACAAACAACUUGAAGAGAUGAUGACAGCUGAUUCCUCAAGCUAGCAGACACAGCAUUGUAUGAACUUCGGGGUUCACUACACUUCAGCAGUCUCCUGGAAAUCUCCAUUAAGUCACUACAGCAGAUGCGACCAGCAGCAGCCUGACUUCCCUGUGUGUUUCUCACAGACCAGGAGGCAAACCCCCACCCCCCCACCCACCACCUCUGUAACACAAUCCACACACUCCUGUAAUCAGGGCAAAACAGUCAGGCUGCCAUAGAAACCAGAGGUUUGUGUCUGCACAACACUUGGCCUUGUUUUUUUCUACUCACUCUCUCUUUCUAAGGUGAGGUCAGCCGUGGAGAGUGGGAGGGGAGAGAGCAGAAUGCCUUCUUAUUGAGACACCAUCACCGUCAUCAUGGCCCUUCGCAGCGGCAGGAAUGAAGGGCAUCUUUCACACACGGGUCGUGGCAUCCCUUCUAUGGGCCGAGACAGAUGGGUGAGGAGUCCUCUCACUGCCAGCUGACCACCAGGGCCAUGUCGUCAACGGACCACAUUUAACCUGUGACGUUAAUGUCAGGCCUCAUCUUGGCUCUACCUUAGUGACACACCACAUGAUAUCUUACACACUUAGAACCACAACUUAAAAUAGAUGCUGGGCAAAAUAUUAAUGGGACACACAUCGUGUGAGACGGUGGCAGUAGAGGAUAAAACAAUACAUACUUCAAGGAUGUUAGAACAUUAAUCCAGAAGGCCUAAAAUGGGCAAAAUUACACGGUUAUUGAUCGCAGGUACAGAAAGACUU